rnacentral:lncRNA from 1 species
CAAGCAAGCCAAAUGAGCUGUAGGAAAGAACGACGCGCUCGAGAACCACCUGCUGAAGAUGUGAACUGAAUAAAGUGAUCCCGCAAAGAACCAAAAUUCACCAAAGGAAUGCCAAUCCACGACCGAACUAAAUCCCACAAAGAUCCAACAAAAUCGCAAGAAAUGAAUAAAUGAUGAGCCGACUCAGCUUCACCACAUCCAAAAACACACAUGUGAGCUGUAGGAGGUAAAACCCGUCGAGUAACUAGAUUCACUCUCG